AAAAAGACAAACCGCGGGUUUGCGUGCCAAUGUUUGACUAUCCGUCUUAUAUGAAUUUUUUUUAUAAUUAGUAUUUUUAUUGUUGUUAGAUGAUAAAAUAUGAUGAAUAUUUUAUGCGUGACUUAUCUUUUCAAUUUUUUCAUAAUUUUUUUAAAUAAGACGGACGGUCAAACAUUGGACACGGAAAUCAGGGUUUAUCUUUUU
rnacentral:pre_miRNA from 1 species